CUUGCAGUUAAAAUGGGAAAGCCUGUGUUAAAAAGAGAAUAAAUAUCAGCAUGGCUUUUGAGAGAUGGCGACAACUCCAAGACCUGAAAGGAUUGAAGACUGGUGCAGAGAUGGUUUUUUGCUGAACAGAUUUUGGAGUGUGGCUAUGGGGAUUUGUCCAAACCCUCUCUUCAUGGAUCUCACUUUGUGCACAGGGGCAUUGUCAUGCCAGAACAUGUUUGGGCCCUUAGUUCCAGUGAAGCAUACUGUGCAUAAGCAGACUGAUGACUAACUACUGAGCUGUAUUGAUCUAUUGUGAAUGCAAAACAAAGGAAGAUCUGAAGAUCCAGCCGUGUCUCCAGACUCUCCUUUUGCCAGACUUCUCACAGAAGUUUCACUGAGAACCGAAAGCAUAUGAAACAGCAGACGCUCAAACAGAUUCAAGCAAGCCUUGGGACUUCUAAUCCAUCAUUUAAUUAACUCUGCCCUACUUUGUUCAGAAUUAGGCCCUGUUCCAAUAUUCCACUUACAUACCUCCAAUACUUUAUCAGCUCAAAUGAAGUUUAGAGGGUUGAGUCAACACCAGUGGGUAAUUACAGAGCAGAAUAUACCCAGAAGGUAUUGCGAUCUGAUGCAUAUUUUAUGUGGCAUUAACAAAACACUGUUUAUAAAUCAAAUAAAAACAAUAAAGUACCAAAUUUAAAAAGGUAAGCAAGGGACAGGUGGUAUAAAUUGGCUAGCAGGGAUAAUCUCUCCUGUCUUAAAAAAGCAAACAAAUAAAUCUCACCUACUUCCUCAUCCUUUCUGGAAUUUCUUUCAAUUUUGGCAUAGUGUGUUACUGAGUAAGACUUUUUAACCAACUUCAACUUGCUGUUAAAAUAGUUCUAUUUAAGUGCAUUUGAUUGAACAGGGUUUGCAGUAGUCAGGUCUAGUUGCGUCUAGUCCAGCUGGACCCCAUUAUGAAUGCAGUUUCAUAGAUUUGGAGAAUUAGUAACUAUGGGGGUAAAUACAUUUUCACACA
ensembl:lncRNA